CAAAAACAUCGCCUCUUGCAAAAUCAACGAAUAAGAGGUCCCGCCUGCCCUGUGACUAUAUGUUUAACGGCCGCGGUAUUUUGACCGUGCGAAGGUAGCGCAAUCACUUGUCUUUUAAAUGGAGACCUGUAUGAAUGGCACGACGAGGGCUUAACUGUCUCCUUUCCUAAGUCAGUGAAAUUGAUCUCUCCGUGCAGAAGCGGGGAUAGACCCAUAAGACGAGAAGACCCUAUGGAGCUUCAGACACUAAGACAGCCCAUGUUAAGAACCCUCACAAAAGAGGCCAAACUGGAUGGUCCCUGUCCUAAUGUCUUUGGUUGGGGCGACCACGGGGUAACAAAAAACCCCCGCGCGGAACAGAGACACUGUCUCCAGAACCAAGAGCACCCGCUCUAAGUAACAAGACCCACUUGACCUUUGAGAUCCGGCACUAGCCGAUCAACGGACCGAGUUACCCUAGGGAUAACAGCGCAAUCUUCUUCAAGAGUUCAUAUCGACAAGAAGGUUUACGACCUCGAUGUUGGAUCAGGACAUCCUAAUGGUGCAGCCGCUAUUAAGGGUUCGUUUGUUCAACGAUUAAAGUCCUACGUGAUC
rnacentral:rRNA from 1 species